GGGCAGGCUGCGCAUCACUCUUAAACCCACAAACUGGUGGAUUUCCUGCACCAGCAUUUCAGCACACGUUGGUAGCUCUUCUGCACUGUUUCGCAUACAUAAAUAGAGCGCAUCAAAGUAUUAUUUCUACACGGUGAUUGCUUGGCCUCUGACUGCCACUUGUGCAAACUGUUCUCAUUUUAGAAAGAAAAGAGGCUUUCUUCGAUCGCAGAACUCCAUUCAAUAUCAUUUCCCUGCAAUUUCAGCACGUGCAGGGGGUUACACGAAAGGCAAGGCUUCCUCACAGCUAUUACAUUCAACUGUUCCAACUACAGGAUUUGAUAAUGUUACGAAAAUGGUGCUUAUGCUUUGGGAAGUGCUCUGACUGCAGGAUGUCCGCUCUUCGGGACGAAGCAGCUCACUGAUGCAUUGCAAACACACUCACGCCUGGUUUGCUUUAGUUGAACCGAGAUGAAUGAGAGUCAUAACAGUAGUGUAACCAUGAAGCAGGUCAUCCUUUACAUCAUUACAUUCUCUUAAUACGAAAUUCCCAGUAACUAUCCGAUCACAUCCUAUUUCCCCGUGUCCGAAAAAGCCAAAUAGGGGAACACUUGGAAAAAACUUCCUAAAGGCAUCUGCUUCCAUAUUCCGUUUGGUUUUAUAGUGCCGAUAUCCUCGGCCAACACACGCGAACAUGAAGCCAAUGGUGUUACACUCGGGGAUGUUUGCUGCUUUCAGACGCUGCAUGGCGGCUUCUGCUGUCCUCUCAUCAGCGACGUCCUGGUCUAACAAAACCGUGGCACUCUGGAUCUGGGGCCCGCUGAAAGCCAGCCCAACCACCCCACAGGCAUCGCUGGGCUGGGCGUUAUUAUUCUCAGAGAUCAGCGAUGUAAAGCUCUCCACUUGUCCCCCAGCUAGGAUGAUACUUUUUUCAUUCAAAGGAUUGACUAUUUGAUGAAGAAAACGAGUAGCUCCAGACUUCCAGGAGUUGUAGCCGAACAGAAGAACCACACGAAGAUCUGGAUUAUUCUUCAGGCCUGCUUCAGCAAAUUUGUUUUCGUCAAUGACCCUAUUCUUUACUUCUUUAGGAAAAUGGAAGGUUUGGAUUUUAACUCCAUCAAUUUUGGGAAACAAAAGAGCAAACCCAGCUUCACCAUCUUCAAUUUCUUGAGGUUGGUUGCUGCUUGAACCCAUAGGGGUAACUACGAUCCCCGGGGUGAGCAGUCCAAGGACCUGACAUCGCUUUGGCAACAGUUUCUCAAUCGCAAUGGCUGUUUCUUUACUGUUUCUUUUUCUGGCUUUCUUGUGCUCGUGGCACUCCUCGUGCCCGCUGAACGUCUCCGCGUCGGCGAUGUAGAGCACGGUCUGGGGCAGCACGUGCACCCUCUCGAGCUCUCGGGCCAAGGCCUGCACCAGCGUGUGUCCGCCAGGCGGGCCGGGUUCCAGUGCCGACACCCAAGCGAGGCGCUGCCGCGUGCGCAGGAUCCGCCGCGCGCACUCCCUCCACAGCCGGCACACGCAGGCGGCGCGCAGCAGCGCUUUAGUGGGCAGGAAGCCGAGCACGCGCUCCACCACCUCGGCCAGGUUGCCGAGGACGAGGCCGCCCUUCCCCGGCGCCUCCAUGGCCGCGGAGCCGCGCCCUUCCCCGCCGCCUGACGCGACGCCGACACCUCCCGCCGCCGACGCGCUUCCGGUUCCGGCGGCGGCACUUCCGCCCGCAUCCCUUCCGGCCCCGCCCCGGAAGCGGCACGGCACAGCGGUUCUCAAAACGGCCUUUAUUCGUCAACUUGAUGCAAGUUUACAAUUCGCGGCGCGGCGCGCUCGCCGGCCAAGAAGGGGGGAAGCGGCGUCGGCCUCGGGCCCGGGGCGGCGGCUGCAGGCGCAGCCCGGCCGCGAGGGCGCAGCCGGAGGGGCUCGGCGAGGCGGGACGCACCCUCGGCCCCGGGAUCGCCACGGGAGGCGCCGCCCGGCCCGGCCACGGCGCGCGUCCGGUCCUUCCGCUGCGGCGCUGCUCCACGUCGGGGUGCCGGAGCGGAGCUUCUGCGGCAAAGAAUUCGUUCCCGGACUUCCGCCUCGCCUGGUGCCACUCACUCGCUUUAUCAGUUCGUUAGUUUACAAAUGAUUGCAACAACCCGUUAAUAAAAUGGAACGCCUACAAAGGUUUUUUAGUAAAUAACUUCGAGCCUCGGCCCGCGGCCGUGCGGCUGCAGCAGAGGGAGCCGCCCGCAGCAGCGGAGCACGGCCGGAGCUGAGCGGCUGCGGCUGCAGCGGCACCGCCUGCACUGCUUAAAGGAGAGAAGGAGGGCAAAACCGUCUGACCAUGAGCAUCUCUUCCAAGAAAUAGUUCGUAUUCUCAUCCAGCCAUGAAAAUGUUUAAUGACUUAACAUACAUGUGCUUUUCCUAUAUCAUUAAUUUGGAAAUACUACAAACGCUGUCAUUUUAGACCAGAAAAACUACUGUGAUUUGCAAGGUCUGACAUUUCCUAUAACAGUAUUAAACAACAUAUUAAACCUCCUGACUUUAAAUGAAACGACACAACUCAAGUCUCGGCGCUCUGCAUCCUGCAAAAGGUAAGAAAUGCGCAGAAGAAGUGCGUGACCAACUCCUGCUGAACGCCCCCGGGGAACGCAGCAGCCCAGUGCAGCAUUACACUUCCAACUUAAAAAAGGGAGAAGGGAAGGAGUGGCCCAAAUAUGCUUAAUCCAUGAAGAACAAAUACAGCAAAGGCCCAGACUGCUCAGUUCAAGAUGCCUAAGAAGAGCGGAAUGGUAAGGCUGCAACUUAUACUUGACGUGUCAGUUGACAGAUUAUCCACUAACUUAUCUAAUAGCUAAAGUCUUCAGUACGGCUGUUAUAGGGGCACUCAUAGCUCGAGUCUCUGUGUUGGAAAACAUUAAAAAGAGCUCUUUUUGUUGGCAUUGGUCCAGGUAUACAACAGUCCUCAGUAUUAACCGUCUUCUUUUGGAGGAGUGUACCAGCCUAUGGAGAACAGAGAAACGCAUUAGGCACUGCCCUGGCUCCGCUCAGAGGAGCUUACCAGCUGCCUUCUGAAUGGGUGGCAGAAAUGUCAGGUGAGUAACUCUGGCUCCUGAUAGCAUUUGGCAUGUUGAAUCAUAUCGGAUCAAGUGUACGUGGCCUUUUCUGACCACCUCCAGAUCUCCAAUCUCAAGUCUCCCAGCCACUAUGGUAAAAAUUCCUCUCAGUUUUAGUACAGUGAGUAGAGGCCCUACAUAUGUCGUCCCAGAGAACUGGUAGCAGCAGUAAGUUAACAAAGAUGCCUUUUGCAGCAGCAAUAAAUGCUGUGAAUGUUUUGUGUACAGCUCCUGUUGCAGCAGCAAACACUGUAGUCAUGGCCAGCAUGUGGCUAGAAGUCAAUGGCCAUGGUGGCUUUUGUUGCAAACUAAAAAAGCAAGAGACUCAGUUAAUGGCAAGACCAACAUGUCAAGAAAUUGGAAAGCAUUUUAAAAUCUUCCUCUGUGACCUUCUUCCUAACAGUCCAGAAGGCAUUAGGUUUGUUUUAGAAGUGGGAAAACCGAGGUGCUCAUCACACCAGAAUAUGCUCGCGUCACGUUCACAGCAACAGGAGUUCCCAAAGGACGCUGUGCAUCUCUGAAGUCAGAACUGGGACUAAUUCCCUCAUCAGGAGAGCAGGACACCAACUCUGUUGAUUGCUUUUGUACGGCAUAUAACUCACUCAAACUAUCUAAAGCCUCAGGUCAUUUCUGGCCUUCUCAUCCUGCCACAACAAAUGCAACUAUACCUCAAGCAUGUUAAUAUUUGCUUUAAGCAGCCACGAGAACAUUAACUAGCUUUAAAUAGAAGAAAAAAAUCCAUCUCCCAUUCCCCAGGCAGUGCACCUCAGUUGGGCUUUUUCUAUCUUUUGAAGAAAUGGAAAGACAGACCAGCAACCAUCUUCUUUAAUGGCUACUAUUUCUCAGCCCAUGCCACACAGAACCAAAGAGGCAGACAACCUUCCAUCCAGCACUUCAAUAACACAUAGACAUUCCAACAGCUACAGCAACAACAAAGCUACUAGGUCUACUAGUUGAAAAGGAAGCUCAACUACUUUUUGAAAAGCAAUAAGAACAUCAGGACAUCAUUACUUCCAUGUAAGCUGGAGAAGUUGCAAAGAUGGUCAGUCAAGUUAUUCUAAUUAGAAAGACUACAGCGCUUAAAGAUGAGAAGCAGAAACACCAUCUCCAGCCUUCCCAACCCAACCUAUGGCAUUCCAGCACUUCAAGUUUCAUUGCUGCCAAAUAUCAAAAUCCUAGGAUGCUCUGCAUACAAGAACAAAAAUGCAAGGCAUACAUACCAUUUUUCUCAUGUAUUUGUACUAGUGACUUAUAGGACUGCUGUGCUCUUGCUAGGUUAUAUUGAUUCUGAAAGGAAAAAAAUCCAAACAACUCUUGAAUCAGCACUUAAAACACCAGCAAGCGAGUCAUAAUUUCAUUGACAUAUUUACACCUCUUCUGAAAACAGCAUUUAGAACUUCAAAACAAGUUGCAGUCUGUUAACAACAUGCACACUUGAACUGAAUUAUGAUUUAGAUCAGUUCUGAGAGGCUCAAGUUUAAGAGUAUUUGCAAGGCAGUAUUUUUCAUUCUGUCAGGAAAACUGGCGGGUACUUAGUCCAGCCAAGGAGAACUUCUUAACAUCAGCAUAUGCAAACCUGGCAGCAAGGCUAUCCGUAGCCCUUCUCAGAGCCAGGAUUCCCAAAUCUUUCUGAUUUCCAAUUCUGAAUUCACCCUUCGCUCCCCCAGGUACAUGUCUGCUUAAAUACCCUGCCCAUCCAAAGCCUGGUCUCCUCAAACAUUUAUCUUUCUUUAAAAUCAUAGUUAACAGCCAAGAACAUAAUCACACCUGCACCAGACGUAUGUGACCGAGACAAAUCAAAAUGCAAAUAUAUUUGCAAUGACAAUUCUGUCAUGAAGCAUCUCCUACACAAGUCAGCAAAGGCAUGAAGAAGCUUAACAACAAUCUGUGUAAUUGAUAUACGCAGUGCAUUUACCUUAUUGGCUCCAAACUGAACUCUGGCUUUUCCUUUGACUAAAGUGGCAUUGAUCUGCAUGAUGACUGAUUCUAUUGAAUAGGCACUGCUCCAGCCCUGCAGGAGGAAGAAAAUAUAUGACAUAUACUUGCUUCUCGUGCUCAUUUUGCAAAUCUGCUUUGGAAUGCACGUUUUGUAGGGAAAUUAUUCCACAUAGGGAAUUAAAGCUACUACUGUCAAGUGCCUUUCUACUGAAAAAGGGCACACUUCACUGUUAUUUGUGGCACUUCUGUACUGAGAGGAAGCGUUGGUAUUCACCUGUUUGGUAAGAAGUUCCAUGCAUAAUGCACCUCCACCUAGGACAUAUCUAGAAAUAAAUGUGAGAAGAAGAUUAUAUAUAUAUAUAUAUAUUUCAUAUAUAAGAUAUGAAGCCAUUCACAGCACUUCAAGUUCUCCCAGGCCAAUUUGAUUUUAUUUUUUCAAGUACAACUGAGAUGCCCUUCAGCCAGUAAUAUACUAUGGCAACUAGUUAGCCAUAGCAUAGGGAAGAUCAAUUAGUGCAGUGAGACAAAAGAAACUGCUUUCCUUGGCCACAUACACAGUUAAAAUCAGCCAUGCAGCUAUUCUGCACAAUUGCUUACAUAGUAGCCAGACCGUGGAAGAGGAAUGCUGUUUUUUGUCACUACACUAUCGAUGUGCUGAUACAGUUAUAAAAAUAAUCCAAACCACUUCCGUUAGGGAUAUUGACACAAUCUCAAACAAUGUAAGUGCAACUAUUAACUAAGAUUUAGUUGCAAACGAGUUAAAGCUAAUCUUCACUUGCUCUUUUUCUCUAAAAUUAAAAAAAAAUUAAAUUCAAUUUCAAUAACACUUCAUCAUAAUCUGUGGUUAUAGAAUUCAGCAGUCAGCACAGCAUGCCUGGCUGUAACAAAACCUGACUGAGGGAGCUGAACUGACCACUCCUAAAAGGUGGUCUCUGCUAUGAUCAGUGCAUUUAAACGACGUCCAUUUAUACGUAAUUUAUAAGGAAAUAAAAAGAGCAAUUAAAACCAAAUCACAAUCAGCACCAGCUGUCAGAGGCUGCAUUGCAGGAGACACUGCACACAACAUUUCAACCAAGGUUUGGAUAACUUGAAGCAUAGCGCCAAUUAAAUUUAAUACUUUCAGAUUAGCAUUUGAGGAGUUUUUAGACAUAAGUUAUAGCGGUGUUACCAACACAUACAAGAAAGACCCCUUCAAAGCAACAACUCAAAACACACUGCUAUGUGGAACAACAGGAGAAGUAAGAUCAUGUUAGAAGUUUCAGAGAUCAGCUCUCAAGUAUUAGGGCUGAUGGAGACUUCCAAAGUUGGACCCAACUUAAGCAAUUCUAAGCUUAAAAUUCAAAUUAAGGAACUGCAUCAAGCUGGAAAAAGCACUCCGCUGUCUGCCCACUGUUAAUUUAUGCUACUUGAGAAGCACAUCAUCUUAUCACACUGAGCCUUUCACCAAACUCAAGGUCUAUAGGAGCUCAUGACUGAUAUUUUGGGAAAAUAAUUCCAAGUCCACCUGCUGGUCUCAAAACAUUCCCUGCAAACCCAGACAACCAAUCUCAAGUUAUAACAUUUUACCACAAAGUAAGAUUUCUAUAAAGCAACUCAAGCUUACCCUCCUGUGAGCACAGGAGAUACUACUCGCACAAAGGGAGGAUCAAACGGGAAGUUAUCCUGAAAUACAUAAACAAAGAACAGUUUAAGAACUAUACUGUGAUGCUGUUCUCCUAACCAGGAGCUAUUUCUGUAGCCUUAUUUGGCAAAUUAGAUUUAAAGCAGUAACAUUUUUCAGUUCUGUAAAAACCACUGUGCCACAGUGCUGGCCCACAAGCAGCCUUUGGGAAGUUUUAGUGCCACACUGAAAACCACAUUUUUUUUUUUCCUCCUUAAAUGUUACACUUCAAUCUUCACCCAGGUGACAGCCAAGGGUACCUUGUUAGUCAGUUUCUACAGUUGGCUACAAAUUUAACCCCUGCAUUUCUUCCCAUAGACACAUACCUUAAAAGAGAAGUUGAGUAAAAUGUAUUCUACACCUUCUUUUUCUUUUAAGACCUGAAGAUCACUAUGCAGAGGGCUGUCAGGAUCAACCUUUAGAAGCUUAACAUGCCAUUCAUACAAGCUGUCAUUUACCAGUUCCACUGAAUAUAUCCCUGUUUUAUAGCUCUGUGAUCUAUAUAUAUCCCUGAGUUCCUUCAUAAGUCGAUCUGAAGCCUGAACUGACCCAGAGACUGCACCAUUUAAGUGAUCUUGCCUUUGAUUUUUUCUGAUUUUUUCUAAGAUUGCAAGGUUCUCUUUUUCAAUGCCUUCAUCCUCGGAUUUCUUCCCGUCAACUGGUUCCUCCUCCUUCAUAUCAUAGUGAUCCAGAUCUUCAAUGUCUUCACCCAUAUCUUCCUCCUCCUCCUCCUCCGAUGUAACUUCUUCCGUUGUUCCAUUCUGUCCAGCUGGUAAUGGCUGAUCUAACAUUUCAACAUCUGGAUGCUGAGGAAGAUUAUACAAUCUGCAGAGGUCACAUAUUAAUCGCUUCAGUUGCUGGAGAAGCAGUGUAUUGCUCUUCUUAAUGUCUUCUAAACGCUCCAAGACUGAAGUCAGGUUUGGGUCAUCUGAUUCUACAAACCAUAUUGGUGAUGAAGAGGGGUAAGAUUCCGUGAUGUUGCAGUGGAUGGUGAGCGGCGGCGGCGGCGGAGGGCCGGAGCCCGGCGGCGGCGGCAGGAGCACGAACUGGCAGUGCAGCUCGUCCAGCUUCCAGGAGACGAUGCGGAAGCGCUCGUGGUCCUUGUCGAAGAUGGACUCGAGGAACUUCAGCUCGGCCUUGAGCCCUGACACCGACAUCCUGGCCUCAUCUCCGGGCCCGGGCCUGCGCCGCCUCGCCUCGGCCCGGCCCUGGCCCCGGCCGCGCCUGCGGGGCGGAAGAUGGCGGAGGGCGGGGGCCCGGGGCAGCCCCAGCGGCGGGGGACGGCGAGCGCGGCGGGGGCCCUUCGUACGGCCUCCCGCACCCUGCGCUCUCUCGAAAGGGCGACGGCGCGGCUCGCUCCCCUUCCCGUUCCCCCUUCCCUUUCCUCGCGGCGGGCUGGGCCAGGCCGGGCCCGCCCCGCCCCGCCCUCCCCGCGCUAGGCCGGCCCCGCGGCCCGGGACGCACGCAGCGGGGCUGGCCGGGCCCGUCCCCGCUCCGCCCCGCGGCCGCCACCGCCCCCGGGCUCUGCCCCGGCCCGCCCCGCCUCCCGCUCCCCGCCAUCACGUACCUGCGCUCCCGCACCCCGCGCUCUGCGCGGUCCCGCCGUCUCCAGCCGCUCCGAGAAGUCAGCCGGCGUCACCCAGGAGCGCCCGUCCCGAUGGAUUCGUACGAACGGAACUCGAUGUCUUGCUGUGCAGGCUGGAAAGAAGCGAUAGAGGCCAAUUAAAAAAGAAAAAAAAAAAACACAACGCGAGUGUUGCAUUGAAGUUCCUCUGCAACAGUUCGUAUAUUUCUAUCCUCUCCCUUCCCCCAAAGUCCGAGAGCAGAGCAAAGUGAACGCUCACAACACCGAGGGACAGAGGCUGCUCCCGGCUCUGUCUCUUCAGGACGUGUCCUCUCUAUCCACCCUCCUCCUUCAACACUUUCCAGCACCGCUUUAUCCACUGACAGCUGUGUGUUUGGGGAUGAGGACUAUCUCUCACAUAGCACAAAGGGAUUACUGCAAUACAAGUCCCACCAUUGCAGAGAAUUCUUGUUGUUUUCCAAUCAGCUUUUAGUUAAUGUACUACACGCACCUGUUAUUUUUUCUUUUGCCCUUUUAAAACUGAUAUUUUAUAUAAAACUCCCGAACUCCAGAGGAACUGGCAGCGCUUCACAAACCACAACCUGAGUCUUUCCAAGCGGUGAGAACUCCAAUCUCAAUCCAGAAGAACAGUCGAGCACAGGCCCAGCUCCAAGCACCUGCAUCUAUGGGCUUGACAGCUCCUGUCCUUCCCCAGAGAGACACAAAGAGCAUGCUUCGCUACAACAGAGGCCAGGAAAGAGCUAAAAGCUCUGCAUGAAAGAGGCCAGGAAAACCAAGGAGAGUAGAAAGAUACGGUUUUAUUAUCAUUUGAAAGAGUCCUAUUGUAAAGUGAGCGCGACUCAGCUUUCCUAGAAGGGCUGAACUGCAUUGGCUCUGACUGUGGAGCCUACAAAGUGAGAACGGAGCAAAUAUGAGAGCUGCCUGCCGAGCUACCAUCACAAAGAAGACUUAAGCAUAAUGGCAAAUAAGCUAUAAACAGCAGAAGAUUACAAGUCUGCCUAUCGGAAAGGGAGGACCUGGAAGAGCCUUUCUGUGGGAACACUGGAGACAAAACCAAACCAACCGGACCUUGCUAUGUGUUACAUGAUGUGAUGCACGAAACAGCAGAGGAAUGAAUCUGGUGACUCAGCCCUAUUU
rnacentral:lncRNA from 1 species